rnacentral:rRNA from 1 species
GAUGAACGCUGGCGGCGUGCCUAAUACAUGCAAGUCGAGCGAACAGACGAGGAGUUUGCUCCUCUGACGUUAGCGGCGGACGGGUGAGUAACACGUGGAUAACCUACCUAUAAGACUGGGAUAACUUCGGGAAACCGGAGCUAAUACCGGAUAAUAUAUUGAACCGCAUGGUUCAAUAGUGAAAGACGGUUUUGCUGUCACUAAUAGAUGGAUCCGCGCCGCAUUAGCUAGUUGGUAAGGUAACGGCUUACCAAGGCAACGAUGCGUAGACGACCUGAGAGGGUGAUCGGCCACACUGGAACUGAGACACGGUCCAGACUCCUACGGGAGGCAGCAGUAGGGAAUCUUCCGCAAUGGGCGAAAGCCUGACGGAGCAACGCCGCGUGAGUGAUGAAGGUCUUCGGAUCGUAAAACUCUGUUAUUAGGGAAGAACAAAUGUGUAAGUAACUAUGCACGUCUUGACGGUACCUAAUCAGAAAGCCACGGCUAACUACGUG